rnacentral:rRNA from 1 species
UACGUAGGGGGCAAGCGUUGUCCGGAAUCAUUGGGCGUAAAGAGCGUGUAGGCGGUCCGGUAAGUCGGCUGUGAAAGUCCAGGGCUCAACCCUGGGAUGCCGGUCGAUACUGCCGGACUAGAGUUCGGAAGAGGCGAGUGGAAUUCCCGGUGUAGCGGUGAAAUGCGCAGAUAUCGGGAGGAACACCUAUGGCGAAGGCAGCUCGCUGGGACGUUACUGACGCUGGAGACGCGAAAGCGUGGGGGAGCAAACAGG